GUACAACUGAAUCAUUAAUCGCCAUGGAAAUAGGACAUCAAUAUUCUCAUGUUUGACUCUGGUAACCCAUGGUAACUGUGCUCCUUUUAUAAUUUGCAAGUGUCUAUUUUUCAUCUGACGAUGGAUUGUCCUGGGGACAAAAAAACAGAAGAAGAAGAAGGAAUAGCUGCAUUGGCAUCUGAACAUGUAUAGGGGGGUUCAGCAUUCAUUAUUCAAUAUUAGAAUUCUGACUUGAGCUCUUAGGAAAAAAAAAUAGAAAAGAUGACUCCAGGAAAGUAAUGAGGAUGCUGAAUGGUAUAAUGUUAUGGUAUUGAUGUCUGUGUCAGUGAGAGAUUGACAUGGAUUAGCAUCGAGGGAUAGAAAAACAUAAUGGCCGCCUCCGUUAAAGAUUCAGAGAUCAGCCCGACUCGUCACAAAACAAAACAAACCUUCACGUGUGCUCAUCUUGUACGUAAUGUUUUAGAUUUUUCUUUUUUUAUCCGUUUGCCCUUUAAUUAAAAUACUUUGUUUGUUUGUUUUACGUUGUUGAGAAAAAGACGUUGUAUGUGCCUAUACAUUUCACCUUUUGUUCUUAGUAUUUCUCUUUGUUGAUCUCUUUAUUUGUAUGGAGAUCUGUGUGAAAAUGUAAAAUGUGCUCUCUCUCUCUUUUUCCCCUCUCUUUGCCCUAAACGCAGGGUAACACAUGAUCUAUGACAUUCUAUCGACACGGUCUUCUCCUCUGGAAGACCGUCAGGCGAACAGAAACAUGGCUCGAUCUUUUUCUAGUGGAUAUUUUUACCAUGAACAGAAAGGAUGGCUGCAGCAAGACUACAUGGAAAAAAGGCUUGAGUCCCAAAUGGCAUUAUGUUCCCUAUGUAGUACACUACAUUUGGCUGGAGCCCUGGUCAUAAAGUAGUGCUCUAUAUAUAUAUAGAAUAGGAUACCAUUUAAGAUACAACCAAUGCUUUUGAUUUAUUUUAUUGCAUUGUACUGUUCCAUAGAGCAAUUGAAGGACAAAUUGCUAGUAAACUAUUUUUUUUAACCUUUAUUUCACUUGGCAAGUCAGUUAAGAACAAAUUCUUAUUUUCAAUGACGGCCUAGGAACAGUGGGUUAACUGCCUGUUCAGGGGCAGAACGACAGAUUUGUACCUUGUCAGCUCGGGGAUUCGAACUUGCAACCUUUCGGUUACUAGUCCAACGCGGGAACUUUAUAUGAUAACAUUUAAUAUAUUAUUUACAGCAUUACUCUUACUUUUAUUUAAUUUAUGAAAAACAAUUUCAUCAUUCUGGAAAUUUUUGUUUAGCUUAAGACAAAAAACAAAUAGGAAAACGUAUUCAAGUCUUUUUACUCAAUUUCUGUCUGAGAGGUGUCUGUCCCAUUGAAUAGCCUCUUCCUGUUGUCAUUUUCCCAUCAGCCACUUCAGGAUUACGGUAUCCAUAUUAGGAUAGAGUCACAAGGCGUUACUCCUAGUUAGGACACUGUACAGGGUAGCACUUCCUCUCAGAAAAGGAACACAUCCACAGUAACUUUGAGCUGCGAAAUGACAUAGACAAACUGUCUACAUUGUCCAUAUAUUUGAAUAACAAGUCAAAUUUGAAGUUGAAAGUUAGUCGAAAUUUGAAAGACCAAAUAGUUUGCGAUAGCUAGCUGUGCUCUGAGACUUUUCCCAGUCAGGACUGGACAAUAAAGGGCCUCUGUGUACUGGUUGUAAACAUAGAGGGAUUCAAGGCUUGAGUCCCAAAUUACACCCUAUUCCCUAUGUAGUGUACUACUUUUGACCAGGGCCCCAUAGGGAACAGGGUACCCUUUUGGGACUCCUCUCAAGGUGACCUUCAUUUAGCCAAAUGUGCUGACGAGAGAGCCGGUGUGUCUGUGAGAUAAUGGGAUAUUGGGUUUUACUAAUGAGAGAUCACUGUGCCAUUAAAAGGGUUGGAGCACCCAACCACCCAAUGAAUGUGGCCUUCAACACCUGUUAUGGAUUAAAGGCUAUGGUUAUAACCUGUUAUAGAUUAAAGGCUAUGGUUAUAACCUGUUCUACAUGAUAUGCUAUGGUUAUAACCUCUUAUGGAUGAUAUGCUAUGGUUAUAACCUCUUAUGGAUGAUAUGCUAUGGGUAUAACCCAUGGGUAUAACCCUAACUCAGGUGAGUUGGGUGCAGGCUGGGCUGAGGUGAGGUGGAGACAGGUAGAGUUAGAGACAGAUAGCAGGCUGGGCUGAGGUGAGGUGGAGACUGAGGUGAGGUGAGGUAGAGACUGAGGUGACAGUGAGAGCAGGUAUAGUUAGAGACAGAUAGCAGGCUGAGGUGAGGUGGAGACUGAGGUGAGGUGAGGUGGAGACUGAGGUGACAGUGAGAGCAGGUAUAGUUAGAGACAGAUAGCAGGCUGAGGUGAGGUGGAGACUGAAGUGAGGUGGAGGCUGAGGUGACAGUGAGAGCAGGUAUAGUUAGAGACAGAUAGCAGGCUGAGGUGAUAGAUAGAUAGAUAGAUAGAUGGUGGUUCCUAACUGUUACGUGGUCGUGUAUACAACAGUACUAGUUAUAAUACAAGGAUGCGAGUUUUUCCCCACUGAACACUCUGAUGACUGUUGGGAAGGUGAAAUAUCCAGAAAGAAAGUCCCUAAGUACAUGUAUAUUAAAUGAAUCCUUAAAAUAUUUCCAAUUUUAGAAUUGUUAACCAAAUUAGAUUUAGAGAUUGCAAUAUUAAAGUGUACAUUUUUUUUGUUUGUUAAUUUGAAGUGAAGAAUGAGGAAACGAGACAUUUUUACACACCUUAUUAUUAUAUAGAGUAAGAAAACGUCUUCUUCUCCUCCUGGCUGUUUCUACCCACAACGUUGUAUACAAUUGCUGGUUUUGUAAUGCACUGUAGAGCAAAAGCAGUUCCACUGUUCUUUUUUUUAAAUAUAUAUAUAAAGAAAUGUUAUUUCAAUGGUCUAUUCUUUUUUUUUGUUUGUUUGAUAAAUACAGUUUUGAUACAAAA
ensembl:lncRNA